UACAGAGGGGGCAAGCGUUGUUCGGAAUUACUGGGCGUAAAGGGCGCGUAGGCGGCCUGUUAAGUCGAACGUGAAAUCCCCGGGCUCAACCCGGGAACUGCGUCCGAUACUGGCAGGCUUGAAUCCGGGAGAGGGAUGUGGAAUUCCAGGUGUAGCGGUGAAAUGCGUAGAUAUCUGGAGGAACACCGGUGGCGAAGGCGGCAUCCUGGACCGGCAUUGACGCUGAACAGCGAAAGCUAGGGGAGCAAACGGG
rnacentral:rRNA from 1 species